rnacentral:rRNA from 1 species
UACGUAGGGUGCGAGCGCUGCCCGGAUUUAUUGGGCGUAAAGGGCGCGUAGGCGGUCACGCACGUCCGUUGUGAAAUCGCUCGGCUCAACUGGGCGGGGUCAGCGGAUACGGCGUGGCUGGAGCAAGCUAGGGGGCAAUGGAAUUCCCGGUGUAGUGGUGGAAUGCGUAGAUAUCGGGAGGAACACCAGUGGCGAAGGCGGUUGCCUGGAGCUUUGCUGACGCUGAUGCGCGAAAGCGUGGGGAGCGAUCCGG